CGAUGAGGUAGAGGCGCGAUUGCUAAUAGUAGCUUUUCUGAGGAUGACAACGUUGAGGAAAAGAGAAAGGGGCCGUCGCCGAAGUGGAAGUAGAGGUCAGGAUACUUUUGCUGGAUCUGUAUUGAAUAAGUGCAGAGCUGUCAUAACUUGGAGCAAACUAAGUUAUGGAGGACUACCAUGAUU
rnacentral:ncRNA from 2 species